rnacentral:rRNA from 1 species
AACGAACGCUGGCGGCAGGCUUAACACAUGCAAGUCGAGCGCCCCGCAAGGGGAGCGGCAGACGGGUGAGUAACGCGUGGGAAUCUACCCAUCUCUACGGAAUAACGCAUGGAAACGUGUGCUAAUACCGUAUACGUCCUUCGGGAGAAAGAUUUAUCGGAGAUGGAUGAGCCCGCGUUGGAUUAGCUAGUUGGUGGGGUAAAGGCCUACCAAGGCGACGAUGCAUAGCUGGUCUGAGAGGAUGAUCAGCCACACUGGGACUGAGACACGGCCCAGACUCCUACGGGAGGCAGCAGUGGGGAAUAUUGGACAAUGGGCGCAAGCCUGAUCCAGCCAUGCCGCGUGAGUGAUGAAGGCCCUAGGGUUGUAAAGCUCUUCCACCGGUGAAGAUAAUGACGGUAACCGGAGAAGAAGCCCCGGCUAACUUCGUGCCAGCCGCCGCCGUAAAAC